rnacentral:rRNA from 1 species
GAUGAACGCUAGAUACAGGCUUAACACAUGCAAGUCGAGGGACCGGCGCACGGGUGAGUAACACGUAUCCAACCUGCCCUUUACUCGGGGAAAGCCUUUCGAAAGAAAGAUUAAUACACGAUGUAAAGGAUGGGGAUGCGUUCCAUUAGGUUGUUGGUGAGGUAACGGCUCACCAAGCCUUCGAUGGAUAGGGGUUCUGAGAGGAAGGUCCCCCACAUUGGAACUGAGCCACCGUCCAAACUCCUACGGGAUGCAGCAGUGAGGAAUAUUGGUCAAUGGGCGUUAGCCUGAACCAGCCAAGUAGCGUGAAGGUGGAAGGCUUAUGGGUCUUAAACUUCUUUUAUAUAAGAAUAUGUAUUAUAUGAAUAAGGCUCGGCUAACUCCGUGCCAGCAGCCGCGGUAAUUC